GUGAAUCAUCGAAUCUUUGAACGCACAUUGCGCCCACCAGUACUCUGGUGGGCAUGCCUGUCCGAGCGUCAUUUCAACCCUCAGGCCCGGCCUGGUGUUGGGGAUUGGCUUCGCGGCCAGCCCCGAAAUGCAGUGGCGGCCCUCCGCAACUCCUCUGUGUAGUAGUGAUACCCGCAUUGGAUAGUGGUUGCGCCUCGCCGUAAAACCUCCAACUUCUCAAGGUUGACCUCGGAUCAGGUAGGAAUACCCGCUGAACUUAAGCAUAUCAAUAAGCGGAGGA
rnacentral:misc_RNA from 1 species